ensembl:piRNA 21ur-10912 ncRNA
UUUAAUGACCUUUUCCAAAAA